AGGAUGAACGCUGGCGGCGUGCUUAACACAUGCAAGUCGAGCGAAGCAUUAAAACAGAUUUCUUCGGAUUGAAGUUUUUGUGACUGAGCGGCGGACGGGUGAGUAACGCGUGGGUGACCUGCCUCAUACAGGGGGAUAACAGACAGAAAUGUCUGCUAAUACCGCAUAAGCGCACAGUGCUGCAUGGCACAGUGUGAAAAACUCCGGUGGUAUGAGAUGGACCCGCGUCUGAUUAGCUAGUUGGUAAGGUAACGGCUUACCAAGGCGACGAUCAGUAGCCGGCCUGAGAGGGUGAACGGCCACAUUGGGACUGAGACACGGCCCAAACUCCUACGGGAGGCAGCAGUGGGGAAUAUUGCACAAUGGGGGAAACCCUGAUGCAGCGACGCCGCGUGAAGGAAGAAGUAUUUCGGUAUGUAAACUUCUAUCAGCAGGGAAGAAAAUGACGGUACCUGACUAAGAAGCCCCGGCUAACUACGUGCCAGCAGCCGCGGUAAUACGUAGGGGGCAAGCGUUAUCCGGAUUUACUGGGUGUAAAGGGCGUGUAGGCGGGACUACAAGUCAGAUGUGAAAACUAUGGGCUCAACCCAUAGCUUGCAUUUGAAACUGUAGUUCUUGAGUGCUGGAGAGGCAAAUGGAACUCCUAGUGUAGCGGUGAAAUGCGUAGAUAUUAGGAAGAACACCAGUGGCGAAGGCGAUUUGCUGGACAGUAACUGACGCUGAGGCGCGAAAGUGUGGGGAGCGAACAGGAUUAGAUACCCUGGUAGUCCACGCCGUAAACGAUGGAUACUAGGUGUGGGAGGUAUUGACCCCUUCCGUGCCGGCGUUAACACAAUAAGUAUCCCACCUGGGGAGUACGAUCGCAAGGUGAA
rnacentral:rRNA from 1 species